rnacentral:rRNA from 1 species
GACGAACGCUGGCGGCGUGCUUAACACAUGCAAGUCGAACGAAGUGGCGAACGGGUGAGUAAUACGUGGGUAACCUGCCCUCCUUUUUGGGAUAAGCCUUGGAAACGGGGUCUAAUACCGAAUAAAGGGGGAUGGGCUCGCGGCCUAUCAGCUUGUUGGUGGGGUGAUGGCCUACCAAGGCGGUGACGGGUAGCCGGCCUGGGAGGGUGACCGGCCACAUUGGGACUGAGAUACGGCCCAGACUCCUACGGGAGGCAGCAGUGGGGAAUUUUGGACAAUGUGCGCAAGCCUGAUGCAGCCAUGCCGCGUGUAUGAUGAAGGCCUUCGGGUUGUAAAGUACUUUUGCAAAGGGACCGGUAUCUGCAGAAUAAGCACCGGCUAACUACGUGCCAGCAGCCGCGGUAAUUC